CGCGCAGGCGGGUUGGUAAGUCGGACGUUAAAGCCCCUGGCCCAACUGGGGGAGGUCGUUCGAUACUGCUUGGCUUGAGGGUGAGAGGGGAGAGUGGAAUUCCCGGUGUAGCGGUGGAAUGCGUAGAGAUCGGGAGGAACACCAGUGGCGAAGGCGGCUCUCUGGCUCACUUCUGACGCUGAGAGCGCGACAGCGUGGGGAGCAAACGGGAUUAGAUACCCCGGUAGUCCACGCUAUAAACGAUGAGAGCUGGGUGUUGGUGGGAUUUCCCAUCAGUGCCGAAGCAAACGCGUUAAGCUCUCCGCCUGGGGACUACGAACGCAAGUUUAAA
rnacentral:rRNA from 1 species